GCUUACGGCCAUACAACCUGGCUAUGCCCGAUCUCGUCUGAUCUCGGAAGCUAAGCAGGUUUGGGCCUGGUUAGUACUUGGAUGGGAGACCGCCUGGGAUACCGGGUGCUGUAAGCU
rnacentral:rRNA from 1 species